UACGUAGGGUGCAAGCGUUAAUCGGAAUUACUGGGCGUAAAGCGUGCGCAGGCGGUUCGCUAAGACAGAUGUGAAAUCCCCGGGCUUAACCUGGGAACUGCAUUUGUGACUGGCGGGCUAGAGUAUGGCAGAGGGGGGGUAGAAUUCCACGUGUAGCAGUGAAAUGCGUAGAGAUGUGGAGGAAUACCGAUGGCGAAGGCAGCCCCCUGGGCCAACCACC
rnacentral:rRNA from 1 species